AGCUCCAAUAGCGUAUGCUAACGUUGUUGCAGUUAAAAGCUCGUAGUUGGAUUUUUAACGGUGACUGCCUCGUGCGGCCUUCAAGUGUCGUUUCGUGGGCAUGAUUCCGCUUAUUUUGCGUCUUCGUGCGGUUGGGAUUAGUUUCUGAUCGUGCAUUAGGCGCGUGUUUACUUUGAGAAAAUUAGAGUGUUCAAAACAGUCUCUUGAUUGUAUAUCAUAGCAUGGAAUAAUAACUGAUGACCUCGG
rnacentral:rRNA from 1 species